rnacentral:rRNA from 1 species
CAGCUCUCCGAGUGGUGUGGACAAUUAUUGGGCCUAAAGCAUCCGUAGCCGGCUAAAUAAGUUCCCUGUUAAACCCACCGAUUUAAUCGUUGGAUUGCGGGGAAAACUGCUCAGCUAGGGGACGGGAGAGGCCGACGGUACUCAAGGGGUAGGGGUGAAAUCCUAUAAUCCCUUGAAGACCACCAGUGGCGAAGGCUGUCGGCUAGAACGCGCCCGACGGUGAGGGGUGAAAGCUGGGGGAGCAAACCGGAUUAGAUACCCGAGUAGUCC